UUGGACUCGGGCAGCUGGAACAAACUGAAAUGUCAGUCACUGGACUGACAGGUGAGAGUGCCCAAAUAUCCUGCAAAGUUUCUCUCUCAGAUUUUGGCAAUAUAUAUAUACACUGGUACCGUCAGAAAACCAACCAAGAGUUUGAGCAUCUACUAUAUGUGAAGAACAGUUACGAUCAACUCUACUUAGAUGGGAAGAACAAGAAAAUUGAGGCUGGUCAAGACUUUCUAACUUCUACUUCAACCUUGAAAGUAAAUUUCUUGAAGAAGGAGGAUGAAGCCACCUACUACUGUGCAGCCUGGAUAUUAGCACAGCAUUAG